rnacentral:lncRNA from 1 species
CAGGAUUUUUCACUAAGCACUUCUUCACGAAAUCUGUGAAUUCAUCAGACCAGAGCUCUGGCUUCCGAAAGGUUGGAGGGGGAUUUGUAGGAAUCAUAAAAAUAGCCCUCAUUGGAUGAAUAUCAGCAUAGGGAGGCUUUCCUUCAGCCAUUUCUAUUGAAGUGAUACCAAGGGACCAGAUGUCUGCCACACAGUUAUAGCCAAUCUCUUGUAUUACUUCUGGAGCCAUCCAAAAUGGAGUUCCUAUAACAGUAUUACGUUUUGCCAUUGUAUCUGUUAACUGGCCAGCCACACCAAAAUCAGCUAAUUUUGCAUGGCCUUCAGUGUUAAGAAGAAUGUUUCCAGCCUUUAUGUCUCUAUGUAUUUUUCUCAUAAAGUGCAAAUAUUCAAGUCCUUUGAGAGUAGAUUUCAGAAUAGUUGCAAUUUCAUCUUCUGUUAGCGUUUUAUUACGAA